UGAGUGGUUAGGGCACUUGCCCAGAAAACAAGAGCUCUAAGACUCCCUCAACUGGAAGAGAUUUGAUUCUACAUCUUUCUGACAUGUCAGUACAGUGCUCUAGCUACCAUGCUAUGGGUUAGGUACUAUCAAAUUUCCUCUCCAGUGUGCAUUUUGACAGCCAAGAGAGGCAAUAAGUGGGACCAGGAAGAAGAGGACAAGCUGUAUGGUGUAUGGCUCUUUGAGAGCGAAGCUGUCUUGGAAGGGGUCUUUGUCUCCCUGGGAGGAAAAGGAGAAGAAAAAAAACCUACCACUGCUACACACUCUACUAAGGAGGUCACACUUCACUCGCUACAGGCAGAAGCACACUUUUCUGAUGCUUCAUGGAAACUGAUAAUGUAAUAGGACUUUUAUCACAGAUCAGCUUGCAGUGGAAUUGGCUAAUAAGAGGAUAUAAAGUAACAGGAACAGUAGGACUAACAUACCUGAUCAGCAACUUUCACAUCAUUUGAAGACUUGUUUUUUCAUACAGCAUUAGUGACUUUCAUAUAUCGUUUUGCAUUUAUGUUGUAUUAGCGACAUUUACAUCUUCUGGACAACUUUUCAUAUAUUCUAUCUGAGAUAUUUUUGUACUGUGCUGGCAACUUUCAUAGUUUAUUUAGGAUUUUAUCUUACUGUCAAACAUUAUGUUUUCCUGAAGAUGAAAAGCAAGUCACGGAUGCUACACUUUUCAAAGUUACUAACACAAAUAGUGAUGGCAAUGCUGCUGGAAUUAGAAAAUAUAUUCUCUGAUCCUUUUUGGAAGCAACUUGUAGCCCCUGAAACUUGUAGAUAUACUAAGAUAAAACUGUAUUGUAGGAUUAACUAAAAUUCCUCACAGCAUUUCCUGUGAACCGGCUAAGAAGGAGAACUGAAAAGGAAUCAACUGAAAAGUUGGUUGUUGUUUUUUUCCCCUCAAGCAGACUAUUCAUCCCACUAUAAGACUCCAGUGUGAAUGAAUGAUGGAAUAUUUGACGGAUGUAAUUUAUGGCACUCCAUAUGACAGCCUAUUUCAGAGUGCUUGAGGUUUUUACAGUCUCUGGGAGUAGUACCUGCUGCUGAAACAAGAGAUUACUCUCCUUGGACAGACAGUAAUUUAAUAGUACAACUGUGUAGCUAGCCACCUCCUACUGUAUUUCACCACCCACUCCAGUCAGCUUUUGAUAGAUAGGCCUCAGUACUUGGAAUGUGAAGAACUAUGUAUCCUGCUCACAGUCUUAGGAGAUACAUCAAGGGCAAAAAAAACUGGAAGCAAAAUAAAUAAAUAAAAGUGCUAAUAAAGUCAA